rnacentral:lncRNA from 1 species
AUUAGGUACUUGUUAAAUACAAAAAUAUGUUUUUAUUUCCUCUGAUUAGAGAGUGAAAAGUUACCGUGUAAACAGGUUUCCAGGUACUUGGCUAAUGAUCACAAAAAUAUCUCUAUCUGCUUCUUAUAACAGACUCCUUUAUUUUUUCCUUUCAUUUGUGCAGGACGAAUGCUUCAGACAGAGGUCCUGGAAGGGAGAGGCCCCAGGGGAUCCUGGUCUGUCAGUCAGUCCAGGGUCAGGAACAGGGAACUCAUCUUGCUGCUGCUAUUGACUGGCUGUGUGACCUUGUGCAAACCACAGAUCCUCUGUGGGCCUCACUGUCUCGCCUUUUACUCCAUCUCAUUGAAAAAUAGUGAGAAGCACCGGUAUACCUAUAGAGAAUUCUUCUGGAUUUCUGCUGUGUUGUGUAUUGCUGUGCUGCAAGUCUACAUCAAGGGACCUUUUCACAUUACCUUGAUUUUGUCAGAUGGCUGCACACACAUCAACUGUGAUGCUUGCUACCUUGGUGAAAGAAAUAGAUGGAGACCUUUGCCUCUGAGAAGACCAUGUGAUGUAGCUGAGAGUGAGACCAAGUGAUCCAAGUACCUUACCUCAGAGCGUAGCAAGACAGAAGGAAAGCUGCCUGGGACUGGCUCCUGUGGCUUCCUUGGUCUUCAGCAUCUUGUGACAUCUUAUUCUCUUGACUGGAUCGAUGACGUCAGAGGUUCCUCGCUGCUCAUCUUAUCAUUUAUAUAAAUGCUGAAGGUGACUGCCCCACAGCAAUACUUCCAGAAUCUUUGCUUUAUCUUUAGUUAUUUCUGCUUCAUCAUUUUUUUAAAAUGAUAGAGGUGUAGUCUUCAGCUGAAUGAGACACAUGUGUUUUUGAAGGACUGUCAUAAAAAUCAUAAUAAACCAUAAAAUAUAACAACCUUGACA